CUCUGUGCUGUAGUCAAAAGUUUAUAAUUAUAUGAUAAAUAGAGGAAGUGGAUCUUCAAAAGCAUCAUCAUGCAGCCAAGAUUGUUCAUCGUCGCCAUCAUGGCUGUGAUGGCGGAAGAGGGUCUCUGCAAAGGAGAGAGAAAGGCCAGACACAUGAUGGACCGGCCGCUGACGGAGAACCGCCUGGACGCUGU
rnacentral:lncRNA from 1 species